GGGGCGGAUAACAUUAUGCCGAACAAGCACAAGGUACAGAUAUAGAAGCUGAAAUAGUGUGCGGCCCUCAGUGGAAAAAGUUUGGACACCCCUGCAUUGCAGCUGAACAAGCGGAGAUGUCCACAAUCGCCCCCUAGUGUACGAGAGGCACACUGCGUGUGGCCAUCAGUCACAUUACAGGGCUUGUGCUGGCGUUGCAGUGAGGUGGAGAUCAACUUGCCACAAGGGGGGGUGCCCCGGACAAGUGACGUCUACAACUAUGGAACACGUCAAAACAGAAACCAUGGCUGUUGUUGUUUCACCUCCCUUCAAAUGAGCUGCGCAAACAUAAGGCCGCCCCCGCUGCUUCUUCCUCCCAUAAUUCCAGCUAUAAAGAGGCCUACAAUUAUAGUGGGACGGGACUAAAGGUGCCGGCAGCCAACCACAGUCUCUCCUUCCAGCUCUCCGGCUCCCUGGAUUGGCUUUGCCCAGAUGUUCCCUCUGUAAUGAUGUUUGCAACCA